CCUACGGGAGGCAGCGGUGAGGAAUAUUGGUCAAUGGACGAGAGUCUGAACCAGCCAAGUAGCGUGAAGGAUGACUGCCCUAUGGGUUGUAAACUUCUUUUAUAUGGGAAUAAAAUGUUCCACGUGUGGGAUUUUGUAUGUACCAUAUGAAUAAGGAUCGGCUAACUCCGUGCCAGCAGCCGCGGUAAUACGGAGGAUCCGAGCGUUAUCCGGAUUUAUUGGGUUUAAAGGGAGCGUAGGUGGAUUGUUAAGUCAGUUGUGAAAGUUUGCGGCUCAACCGUAAAAUUGCAGUUGAAACUGGCAGUCUUGAGUACAGUAGAGGUGGGCGGAAUUCGUGGUGUAGCGGUGAAAUGCUUAGAUAUCACGAAGAACUCCGAUUGCGAAGGCAGUUCACUGGACUGCAACUGACACUGAGGCUCGAAAGUGUGGGUAUCAAACAGGAUUAGAUACCCCAGUAGUC
rnacentral:rRNA from 1 species